UUACUAUUUGGAUAGUAUAUAGUGCGCGCUACGCGCGCGCCUUCCAUUUCCUUUCUUAAUACUUUAUUACACAAUCUGCAUUCACAUUCGAAUGCAACACAAUCUCUGUAGGCCUAUUCUCUAAUUUUCUAACGACAACAUCGUUAUCGUUAUGUAGCGACGAUCGUCGCUUGCGCUAACGACGUUGUAAUGAAAAAGCUAUUCUGUAACUCAAGUUAGCGAUACCGUAUCGAUACAAAAUGUGAUAUCGACGUCGUUAUCGAAACGAGUAUAUUCAGUUUAAUAUAAUUUCACUGCUGCAGUGUUCAGCCAAUCAAAUCUCUUUUCCUUGUGUAUCUUUUUCAGUAAGUUUAGGAACACUAAAUACAAAUAUUGGCUGUGUCAACAAUUAUAUGUGACAGUUAACCAAAAUAUGUCAAAAUCAUGUUUUAGAUUAUGUUCAUACAUGUUGUUAGCAAAAUACUUAUUAUAUAUGUGGAUAUAUGUGGAUAUACCAAUACAGUUAAUAUCAAACAGAUGUCAUAUAUUUGUGUGUGUGUUGAAAGUUCAAGACAUCGUCAGGGAAGAGCUACUCAUCAACAAAUUGAAGCUAUGAUAAGCUAUCUGGAAAAGAAUCCACACGUAGCACAAGGCAAAUUUACGACGAUGAAUGCUAAAGAACGUUUGCAAGGAAACUGGGAAGAAUUAGCUUAAUUGUUAAAUUCAAUGAUGCCAAACGGGAAAGCAAAAGACGUGAAAAAUUCUGGAAGAUUACAUGGCGAGAUCAUAAAUCAAAGGUAUCUGAAAAGAUACAAAAAUUAAGGAAAAAAAAGAGCCAGUAUUGAAAAUAAAUCAGUUAAUAUCACAAUAACUUAUAGAUUUAGAUAAAAGAAUAUUAGGCGUCAUUGGGCAUGAAUACGUUCAAGGAUUACCAGAUAUACCUGACAGUUUUCCUGAAGAGCACAACAAUGAUAUUGAGGAAUUAUCAGCAGGAAAUACAGCAAUAUUAGAUAAUGCUCCAGCUCCAAUAGUAAUUCCAGAAUUACAAGAUGUUUCAAUUGUCACCACAAAUGAAGAAAUUGAACAAGUAACAGAUUAUAUCUAUGAAAACGAAGAAAAUAUUAAUCCUAUAGAUGAAAACUUAACAGUAGAUGAUCCAUCAUGUAUAUCAUUAACAUCACAAGAAAAUACAGCAAUAUAUAUUUUCAGAACAAGAAAACGAAAAAGGAGUAUGUAUAUUAUAACAUUAAAAUUCUGAUAAGUAAAUUCAUUAUAUGAUUUCAAUAAUACAUUACUCUCGUUUUUUUUAUAUAUGCAAGCGAAAAUUCAGAACGUCUAGGAACACAAUUAUAUAAUGCUCGAGAAUCUUUCGAGGCAAUUGCUCAGCAGCAUGCUGAAGCAAUGAAGUGGAAGCAAUGCAAUUGCAAGCCAAAAGUACAGAAGAAAUAAGUAAUGCUAUUCAUAGGAUGGUAAAUAAUGAAGAGCGACAAACAAAACUAUUGGAACUUAUAUAUAAACGUUUAAGGAAUAAUGACACAUAAAUUUUUUCAAGUUUAAUUUUUUUUAUUUCGGAGUAUAAUAAUUUUAUAAAAUGUUUAAAAAUGUUUAUUAUUAUAAAUAAAAAAAGUUUAUAUCAUCCAUCAA